rnacentral:rRNA from 1 species
AUUGAACGCUGGCGGCAGGCCUAACACAUGCAAGUCGAGCGGAUGAAGGGAGCUUGCUCCUGGAUUCAGCGGCGGACGGGUGAGUAAUGCCUAGGAAUCUGCCUGGUAGUGGGGGAUAACGUCCGGAAACGGGCGCUAAUACCGCAUACGUCCUGAGGGAGAAAGUGGGGGAUCUUCGGACCUCACGCUAUCAGAUGAGCCUAGGUCGGAUUAGCUAGUUGGUGGGGUAAAGGCCUACCAAGGCGACGAUCCGUAACUGGUCUGAGAGGAUGAUCAGUCACACUGGAACUGAGACACGGUCCAGACUCCUACGGGAGGCAGCAGUGGGGAAUAUUGGACAAUGGGCGAAAGCCUGAUCCAGCCAUGCCGCGUGUGUGAAGAAGGUCUUCGGAUUGUAAAGCACUUUAAGUUGGGAGGAAGGGGAGUAAGUUAAUACCUUGCUGUUUGGACGUUACCAACAGAAUAAGCACCGGCUAACUUCGU